rnacentral:rRNA from 2 species
UUAAGCGACUAAGCGUACACGGUGGAUGCCCUGGCAGUCAGAGGCGAUGAAGGACGUGCUAAUCUGCGAUAAGCGUCGGUAAGGUGAUAUGAACCGUUAUAACCGGCGAUUUCCGAAUGGGGAAACCCAGUGUGAUUCGUCACACUAUCAUUAACUGAAUCCAUAGGUUAAUGAGGCGAACCGGGGGAACUGAAACAUCUAAGUACCCCGAGGAAAAGAAAUCAACCGAGAUUCCCCCAGUAGCGGCGAGCGAACGGGGAGCAGCCCAGAGCCUGAAUCAGUGUGUGUGUUAGUGGAAGCGUCUGGAAAGGCGCGCGAUACAGGGUGACAGCCCCGUACACAAAAAUGCACAUACUGUGAGCUCGAUGAGUAGGGCGGGACACGUGGUAUCCUGUCUGAAUAUGGGGGGACCAUCCUCCAAGGCUAAAUACUCCUGACUGACCGAUAGUGAACCAGUACCGUGAGGGAAAGGCGAAAAGAACCCCGGCGAGGGGAGUGAAAAAGAACCUGAAACCGUGUACGUACAAGCAGUGGGAGCCUCUUAAUGGGGUGACUGCGUACCUUUUGUAUAAUGGGUCAGCGACUUAUAUUCUGUAGCAAGGUUAACCGAAUAGGGGAGCCGAAGGGAAACCGAGUCUUAACUGGGCGUUAAGUUGCAGGGUAUAGACCCGAAACCCGGUGAUCUAGCCAUGGGCAGGUUGAAGGUUGGGUAACACUAACUGGAGGACCGAACCGACUAAUGUUGAAAAAUUAGCGGAUGACUUGUGGCUGGGGGUGAAAGGCCAAUCAAACCGGGAGAUAGCUGGUUCUCCCCGAAAGCUAUUUAGGUAGCGCCUCGUGAAUUCAUCUCCGGGGGUAGAGCACUGUUUCGGCAAGGGGGUCAUCCCGACUUACCAACCCGAUGCAAACUGCGAAUACCGGAGAAUGUUAUCACGGGAGACACACGGCGGGUGCUAACGUCCGUCGUGAAGAGGGAAACAACCCAGACCGCCAGCUAAGGUCCCAAAGUCAUGGUUAAGUGGGAAACGAUGUGGGAAGGCCCAGACAGCCAGGAUGUUGGCUUAGAAGCAGCCAUCAUUUAAAGAAAGCGUAAUAGCUCACUGGUCGAGUCGGCCUGCGCGGAAGAUGUAACGGGGCUAAACCAUGCACCGAAGCUGCGGCAGCGACGCUUAUGCGUUGUUGGGUAGGGGAGCGUUCUGUAAGCCUGCGAAGGUGUGCUGUGAGGCAUGCUGGAGGUAUCAGAAGUGCGAAUGCUGACAUAAGUAACGAUAAAGCGGGUGAAAAGCCCGCUCGCCGGAAGACCAAGGGUUCCUGUCCAACGUUAAUCGGGGCAGGGUGAGUCGACCCCUAAGGCGAGGCCGAAAGGCGUAGUCGAUGGGAAACAGGUUAAUAUUCCUGUACUUGGUGUUACUGCGAAGGGGGGACGGAGAAGGCUAUGUUGGCCGGGCGACGGUUGUCCCGGUUUAAGCGUGUAGGCUGGUUUUCCAGGCAAAUCCGGAAAAUCAAGGCUGAGGCGUGAUGACGAGGCACUACGGUGCUGAAGCAACAAAUGCCCUGCUUCCAGGAAAAGCCUCUAAGCAUCAGGUAACAUCAAAUCGUACCCCAAACCGACACAGGUGGUCAGGUAGAGAAUACCAAGGCGCUUGAGAGAACUCGGGUGAAGGAACUAGGCAAAAUGGUGCCGUAACUUCGGGAGAAGGCACGCUGAUAUGUAGGUGAAGUCCCUUGCGGAUGGAGCUGAAAUCAGUCGAAGAUACCAGCUGGCUGCAACUGUUUAUUAAAAACACAGCACUGUGCAAACACGAAAGUGGACGUAUACGGUGUGACGCCUGCCCGGUGCCGGAAGGUUAAUUGAUGGGGUUAGCGGUAAGGCGAAGCUCUUGAUCGAAGCCCCGGUAAACGGCGGCCGUAACUAUAACGGUCCUAAGGUAGCGAAAUUCCUUGUCGGGUAAGUUCCGACCUGCAC